rnacentral:rRNA from 1 species
UAGUCCACGCCGUAAACGAUGAGUGCUAGGUGUUGGGGAGGAAUCCUCGGUGCCGCAGCAAACGCAAUAAGCACUCCACCUGGGGAGUACGACCGCAAGGUUGAAACUCAAAGGAAUUGACGGGGGCCCGCACAAGCGGUGGAGCAUGUGGUUUAAUUCGAAGCAACGCGAAGAACCUUACCAAGGCUUGACAUCCCGAUGGCCGCUCUAGAGAUAGAGCUUCUCUUCGGAGCAUCGGUGAC